AUCAGAGAAUUGUUCAUUAUAAACUCGUCUCGACGGCAUAUGUCAGUCUAUCAAGCGCAAAAUGCUGCGGAAGUAGCAUUCGCUUGCGAAAAAGAAGCGUCCCAGUACUUUUUUUUCAGCCUGCCGUCUGUCGAACGUGAUUAGUUCCUUAAGUUGCGGUGUUUGUCAUAAAGCUUGCGUUACUCUACUCUUGUACGCGCGUCUUAAUCAUUUUUCCUGACUGGCCUCCAGACUUAUGGUUGUGCACUUGCCCUUAUACCUAGGGGCACUUGCACACCUCGUAUUCCCUCAUUCGUGGCAUAAUCGUGCUGCCGAUACAAAAUUUGCAGGUGAAAUGUGGAGCGGCUGGGUGCAUUUUUAAAUCGUUACUCGCAGCCUAGCUUAUACACGCGUGAACCACUGUAAUGUGACAUUUCUUUCUGUUUUGUCUUUUGUUCUGGCCAAGUGACUUAAAAGGUUUCAGCGAGCUCCGAUUAAGGAACUCGAGUGCGGUGCAGUACUUACGGUUAUCCAGCUUCACUAGUAGCCGCGUCGGCCUUCUUUUUGCUUUGCAGUCCAGCCCUGGUACUCAGAUUUGUGCUACACCGCAUAUGUUAACGCUUAAAGGCCUUUGUUUCAGUGUGUUGAUGUAUGCUUGUGAAUGUUGUGGCCAGCUUUACAAAGCCACAUCAUGUAACGGUCGCUUGCGUAAUAGUUCACAAUACUGCAAAGAUAUUGAUGGUGAGGUCUAGUUCAGAGGCAGCCAGUGCUGUAGUAAUUCAAGAUCAGAGUGAAACUACAUCCAGUCAAAACACAUCCCUCAAGUCAGACUUUUAGCGGUGAUGCAACUGUUGGAGAUAAAAGGAAAAGCCUCCAUAGUAGCACAAAGCUACAAGGUUCAUGAAAUAAUAACACGCAUGCAAUGGCGAGCUUGGUGCAAAUGAAUGAUGAAGCCGUUUGCACACUGACACAAUAUAUUGCACAAUACCACUCUCAACAACAACAAAAGAAAGCUUACAAACGCGACUGAUGCAUACACACAGAGAGCCGAGCACAAAACAAACAAAAGAAAUGUGACACGGUUGGAGUUUAAGUGUUCUAUGGUUUUCUUAGCCCUAGCUAUGGCAGUUCCAGCAGUUUCUUAAGCCAGUUAAUUGCAGCGGCUAGAAAGAAUAAAAUUCACCGGGGAAGUUCGGAUGUCAAAUAAUCUGUAGCAGAUGACAAAGACAUGGCAGUAUAAGAAGCAGAUGAAUCCUUUGGCCUACGCUGUCUUCAAGUCCAGGGCCAUUGCCAACAACUAGCACUUAGUUAUUGGGUAUCUGCUAAGACUUCCAGGAGAAGUAAACCAAACCAGGUGUGCGACCAUCAGCAACGGCCUGCUCAAGUCCCUUCACCCGGUUGGCCCCUCGUUUCUCCAACUAACAGAUACGCUAUGCUGUGUUCACCAGUGUGCAAAAUGAAGAGCCAAGGACCUUUUUAACCACUUUAAGAACAGAGAUGCUACGAUCAGCAGCACUUCACGCAGCAGGAACUGCAAAUGAUGAGGGCCGUUGAUGACAAGCUCCGAAACGGCGAGAUCCCCAGAGUGAGGUCAACAUACCCGAGCAACGUGUCCCAAACGGAGAGAGAAAUCUUUAAGGAGAGGAUAUACAGCGCCAUUAUGAGCAUCGCACCAAAUGAGCGAGCGGCACGAAUCAUCAGGGAAAAAUUGGAGAACUUUGUUAAAUGCAUGGCCAACAGCUACCAACGUCCUUAUUCAGGGGGUCGCAAUCAGAGAGAAUGAGAAGAUGCUUUUUUUUUUAUGCCUGGUGUUGGAAUAGCGUCAUCGUCCUGUACAACGGUUCCUGGUCCUUCGAUAAGGAUGUUCAUCGCUGUGUGAUAUUCGUCUGAGCACUGUGCUAUCGCGACGUUUGUGAAGUGAAUAAAAUGAGUUAUCUCACAGUU